UCUGCAGCCCAACCGUCACCUAAAGGAGGAAGUGAUCCUCCCACUGUGUCUCUCUGCCCUGGAGGUGUGAGGCAGACAGCGGUGGAGCAGUUCAAAUCGGAGCUGAGUCGUGUUGUGAGUUAAAGGUGCAAUGGUAAGACCAGCGAAAAACAGCAACACCACAGAAGAACCUGAUGUGAUCAAAGCGAUGGAAAAGGUGAAAACUAUGAAGUACUCCCCUCCGUACGGCGCCACAAAUGGGACCUCAACAGGAGACACCUGCCCCACAUGUCGAGGCACAGGGAGGAUUCCCAGAGGCCAUGAAGGCCAGUUAGUUGCUGUAAUACCCUGUAAUGAUGUGAGGCUGAAACCCAGGCGCACGAAGCUGUACGUGUGCGUGUCAAUGGUCUUGUGUCUCCUCCUUUGCAAUCUCAUCCUCUUCUUCCUCUUCCCCCGGAGUGUCACUCUGACGCCUGUGUCUGUGCUGUCAGUAAUGGUGUACUUCACACCAGACACUGUGGAAAUGGAGGUCACAAAUCUUGUCAACAUCUCCAACCAGAACUUUGUCCCAGUGAAGAUUGUGGAGUUUACCAUUCAGGGUCUUGUAUCUAAUGCAGUUGUUGGUAAAACCAAGAUUUCUAACAUGACCGACAUCCAGCCCCGCUCACAAAAUUCGUACACCAUUGAAAUUGACCUGCCUCUUGCUGAUAAAGGCUUAAACACUUACUGCAAGUCGAGCUCUAUCAAGAUUCACACGUUAUUUCUGCAGCUGCAGUAAGUGUCAAUCUCAAUCUGACAAACACCAGAGGAGGCAGCCUCCUCACAGCAAUUCUCACACCCACAACGUGUAAAAAAAUGACACUGAAUAUUUCCUAUCUCUCUCACAUGGAGCAGCUGUCUUUGGACACUUAUGAGUACAUUGACUGUGGCACCAACUCCACAACCCCUCAUCCUGUGAGAUGAUGACAUCAUAAUGGAAACACCAAUGUGGGAGUGUUAAAUAAUGAAUAUUGCUAAAUUGCACCUUUUUCAUCUUCUCCGGGGGAUGUGACAUUAGGAAUUCAGGAAACCACCAAUGAAAACAGUCCUGCAUUCAACCUUUUACUUGAGUAGAAGAACCAGAUUAGCAACAACGUGUAAUUAAAUUCCUCUAGCAAACAGUGAGGAAAUGUGCUCAGUUACAUUCAAACACUUAUCUAAUUAUGUAUGUUGUUUUAGCAUGCCUUAAGAAUUAAAAUACACUUAACUUAAAAUGAAUGAUUUUUCUCUUGUUUGUUCUAUAAGGGGUGUCAUAAGUUUGUGAAAAGCACAAUUUCCUAAUGUCAAAUGUGUCGAAUGUGGAUUUUUGUAUGAAGAUGUGUUUGUUUCUUAACAUUGUAAGUAAUUCACAAUGUUUUUGGAAACAAUGUCAUUUGCUCUGCAUUAAACUUUGGCAUUCAAGAUUC